CGAUGAACCACUUCGGUGGGGAUUAGUGGCGAACGGGUGAGUAACACGUGGGCAAUCUGCCCUGCACUCUGGGACAAGCCCUGGAAACGGGGUCUAAUACCGGAUACUGACCAUCACAGGCAUCUGUGGUGUUCGAAAGCUCCGGCGGUGCAGGAUGAGCCCGCGGCCUAUCAGCUUGUUGGUGAGGUAAUGGCUCACCAAGGCGACGACGGGUAGCCGGCCUGAGAGGGCGACCGGCCACACUGGGACUGAGACACGGCCCAGACUCCUACGGGAGGCAGCAGUGGGGAAUAUUGCACAAUGGGCGAAAGCCUGAUGCAGCGACGCCGCGUGAGGGAUGACGGCCUUCGGGUUGUAAACCUCUUUCAGCAGGGAAGAAGCGAAAGUGACGGUACCUGCAGAAGAAGCGCCGGCUAACUACGUGCCAGCAGCCGCGGUAAUACGUAGGGCGCGAGCGUUGUCCGGAAUUAUUGGGCGUAAAGAGCUCGUAGGCGGCUUGUCGCGUCGGUUGUGAAAGCCCGGGGCUUAACCCCGGGUCUGCAGUCGAUACGGGCAGGCUAGAGUUCGGUAGGGGAGAUCGGAAUUCCUGGUGUAGCGGUGAAAUGCGCAGAUAUCAGGAGGAACACCGGUGGCGAAGGCGGAUCUCUGGGCCGAUACUGACGCUGAGGAGCGAAAGCGUGGGGAGCGAACAGGAUUAGAUACCCUGGUAGUCCACGCCGUAAACGGUGGGCACUAGGUGUGGGCAACAUUCCACGUUGUCCGUGCCGCAGCUAACGCAUUAAGUGCCCCGCCUGGGGAGUAC
rnacentral:rRNA from 1 species